AUAAAUUAAAUGUUAGGUAUUGAGAUAUUAUUAAACAUUUAAUCAAUGUAGUAUAUCAUAACAUUUAAUCAAUUAAAACUAAUUGAAGUUAUCUCUCUCCCUAGCUACUUCCUAACACAUGAGAGAUUAUAUGUUGAGAUAUUAUCCUUUAGGCCAAUAAUGGAGUCCCAUGGCCUGAGAUAUUAUCUGUGUAAUGAAGUUAUUCUGCUUUAACCCAUUAAUAUUAUCCGUUAUAGUUUGACCCAUGUGUUAUAAAUUAAAUGUUAGGUAUUGAGAUAUUAUUAAACAUUUAAUCAAUGUAGUAUAUCAUAACAUUUAAUCAAUUAAAACUAAAUGUUGUCUGCUAUGAUACCAUGUGAAGUUAUUUGGGACCAAUUCAUUUAUGGAUCAGUUGUAUUUCCUCUGUUAAUCAACUCUGCUAUUUUCUGAUUGUGAUUGUGAUAUAAAACCGACACUCUGCUAUUUUCUUAUUUCAAUUGCUUUCAAUUGUAAACUGAUUCAAUUGUUCUUGCGAUCAUAGUUUCAUUCACAAACUGAUUAAAUGUUCUUUUAUCUCUCUGCUCUCCAGGCCUGUUCUUCUUCGGUAUUUUUUGAUUAUCUAUCUUUAUUUCUUCGUGUCAAGCUUUGAAUAUGGGUAUUCUCUCCCCAUUUCUUUGUAAUAUAUUCAGGUGAUCUAUAUUACUUUAUUUAUAUUAUAGGUCUACAACAUCUACUUUACUGGGAUUAGCAUCCUCACCAUUAUUGAUUUCUGGAUCAAUUGUAUUUCCUUUGUUAAUCAACUCAUUUGUAAUGGAUUCUUGCUAUGCAACCUUGAGAGCCAAUACCCACUUGGCAAACCCAAGCAAAUGUGGUCUGAGUCAUGGUGAUAAUGGGUUUUGGGGGGAGAGGAUGAGAGGGAGUCUCAACAAGAACAGUCGUCAUUGGGUUAAUCAGUUAGCAAAAGGCUUGAGAUAUGAGAGAAAGGAGAGGAAGAUCAGACCUAGCGUUUCUUGCUCUGUUAUUACAUCAGACAAUGGCAAAGAGACUUUGACCAUAGAUGCACCCCGGUUUGAGAGACGAAGAGCGAACCCAAAAAAUGUGGCUGCAAUCAUAUUGGGUGGAGGAGCAGGGACUAAACUCUUUCCUCUUACAAUUAAAACUGCAACACCAGCUGAUUCACUGCACACACGGUUACUUAAUAGAAGUGUUUUGCAUAAUCAAACAUUGGUGAACAAGUGGUUGCUUUGGAUGCCUCUGUUUUAGAGUUGAUUGUAUAGUUUGGUUACUUGCAGAUGUGAUUGAAGAUUUCAUGAAGUUGUGGGUGGGCAAGAAACCUCUCUUUUUUUGAGGGGUCGAAAUCUGAAUAUUCUUGGCACCAAGAUUCACUGCACACAUGGCUACUUAUCAAAGGAAGUGCCGGGAUCAGCCUGUCAGGAAACCAUACAUGAUGAGAGAAGCUUGGUCCGUUUUAAAAUUAAUGGGGUGGGUUACCAAUAUUGGUGAAUAUUAUAAAUUUGAUUUGUUUGUUUCUUAAUUUGCAUUAAGAUUAGGGGAGUUGUUAUCUUAUUUGAGUUUUGUAA